GAAAUGCGAUAAGUAAUGUGAAUUGCAGAAUUCAGUGAAUCAUCGAAUCUUUGAACGCACAUUGCGCCCGCCAGUAUUCUGGCGGGCAUGCCUGUUCGAGCGUCAUUUCAACCAUCAAGCCCCCGGGCCUGUGUUGGGGACCUGCGGCUGCCCGCAGGCCCCGAAAACCAGUGGCGGGCUCGCUGUCACCCCGAGCGUAGUAGCUAACACCUCGCCCAGGGAGUGCCGCGGGUCCCGGCCGUAAAACCUAACACCUAAGGUUGACCUCGGAUCAGGUAGGAAGACCCGCUGAACUUAA
rnacentral:misc_RNA from 2 species